rnacentral:rRNA from 1 species
UACGUAGGGGGCAAGCGUUGUCCGGAUUCAUUGGGCGUAAAGGGCUCGUAGGCGGUUUGUCGCGUCGGGAGUGAAAACCCAGGGCUUAACCCUGGGCUGGCUUCCGAUACGGGCAGACUAGAGGUAUGCAGGGGAGAACGGAAUUCCUGGUGUAGCGGUGAAAUGCGCAGAUAUCAGGAGGAACACCGGUGGCGAAGGCGGUUCUCUGGGCAUUACCUGACGCUGAGGAGCGAAAGUGUGGGGAGCGAACAGG